UACGGGGGGGGGCAAGCGUUGUUCGGAAUUACUGGGCGUAAAGGGCUCGUAGGUGGCCAACUAAGUCAGACGUGAAAUCCCUCGGCUUAACCGGGGAACUGCGUCUGAUACUGGAUGGCUUGAGUUCGGGAGAGGGAUGCGGAAUUCCAGGUGUAGCGGUGAAAUGCGUAGAUAUCGGGAGGAACACCAGUGGCGAAGGCGACUACCUGGCCUGUUCUUGACGCUGAGGCGCGAAAGCUAGGGGAGCAAACGGGG
rnacentral:rRNA from 1 species